UCCAGUGAACUGAAGCCUGCUGUCACGUGUCUGUUUUCACACAACGGAAAGUAGACCAAGUGUCUAAUAACUGGUGUCGCCGGACAUACGCGAGCCACCGGUUACACGUGGUGUCGUGACCCUUUGGAUUUCACCGAUCGCCGGAGUUGCUGCAUCUACAGUCGACGGGUUUGCUGUAACUAAUCGCUGGAGGAGAGUUUCGCUGAUUGUUUCAUCUCUUCACGUCAUUAACUCGUUACCUGUAUUUGCUGCUCAUAUCAUAUAGGACUGUAUUCAUCGAACGCUUGACUUUUGUGAGGUGACCAAAGUGAUUCAUUCUCGCUGCACGAAUGGGAAGACAUGAUGUACAGUUAUUUGAACGUUUAAGCCUGCUGAACAGCGGAGUGCUACCGAGGUUCAAGAGCGACUGGAUUGUCACCAUAGGAACCUGAAAAGAACUUCUAAUAGAACCCAACGUUACUCACCUGUGUCCACCGGCAUAAGUGCACAUAUGACCUGGAAAUCGAAGUCUAUGGGUUCAGUUUCAUCGUCCCUACUGUAGUAGUGCCUGGACAGAAAAAAAAAAUAAUAAUCGGCAGUAACGCAUCAAGUGCGUGCUUCAGAGGAUGAAACUCAAAAAAAAGUACUGGGAAGUUAUUUCGUGCCAAAACACAUCCCUGAAUGCGAAGAGCUUCUUGAACUUCUGAGCUGCAUUUCUCAUUGGUCUGGUCCUCACCAGCGUGCUAAACUUGGGACAGUGAAAGUUUGUCAAGCUGUUACUUUGCAUCUUUAUGCCCAUGAUGCUCAGCAUAUUUGGAGAUCUGAACUUUUCCAGCCCCCUUUGGUAUCUAAACGAUUUGCUUUGUUUUCGCCCAUACCGAACAAGAAGCAUUGACACGCCUGGAAGUGGUGUUUGCACGGUUGAAAGCUAGUAAUCUGAAGUUGGCUUCAAAAAAGUGUCACUUAGGCGUUUUAUCAGAUUUUUGAUGUCGCUUUUGAGGAGUUGAAAACGGGUCUUGUUGAGAGUGUAGUGUUAGCCCAACCUGAUUUUGAGCGUCCUUUUAUUCUCUGCACCGACCCGUCGUUAGACGGCCUUGACGCAGUGCUUUCUCAAGUUCCCAUGGUGAAAAUAAAGCACAUCCUAUAGCAUUCGCCAGGAAGUCUUUGAGCCACAGCCAAGCCAAUUACCCUGCACACACACUAGAGUUCUUGGCCCUGAAAUGGUCUGUAUGUGACAAGUUUUGCCACUGGCUGAAAGGCCAUGAGCUAACUGUAUGGAUUGAUAAUAAUCUGCUCACAUUCAUCAUGAUAAAACCAAAAUUAGACUCGUAUGAACAGCGCUGGGUUUCAAAACUCGCCCCGUACAACAUUUAGAUCCAGUACAUCCCUGGCAGAUUGAGUGUUGUAGCGGAUGGACUGAGUCGUGACCCGUUCGUCAAGCUAGUGAGUCAACAACUUCUGUCAGAGUUUUAUUCUAACUGCUGAAGCAUGUACGUAGUGUUGAUGACGGCUCUGUUCAGAGGACAUUCCGUCUGACGUGCCUCCCCCAGACGCUUGAACGAAAUUUAAUGAAAACUCUGAGAAGGAUGUUUCCAUGCCUGGAAGAUUGGGAUAAAGGAGCUGUUUCCAGAGCUACAUCCCUGGCUGAUCACAUGAGUUCUUUGAUUCCUGCCUUUCAAGAUGGCUUCCGUGCUUUCUUAUUGUCGGAAUUACAUUGUCGGCAGCAGAAUGAUGCAGUUAUUUCAGGGGUGUCUUUCUUUGUCAGCAGGAAGCGCAGACCUUCCAGGCGCGAACGUGCAAUUGAGGAUUUGCGUGUUUUGAGGAUCUUGAAGAAGUGGGAUAAACUCUCUUUGCUAAAUGGCAUUCUGUAUAGAACUAUCAAAGAUCCACUAACAAAGCAUAAGAAGUUUCUGUUCGUCCUGCCUGAUUCCCUGCCAGCUCUUUCCGGUGUUCAUGAUUUGGCCGCUCACCAAGGUCAGCCACGUACCCUGUCUUUAGCCCGCCAGAGGUCCUUUUGGCCUGGGAUGGAACCUGAUGUCCAUAAUUAAGUCAGAAAUUGUACCCGUUGUGUCCUGAGUAAAACUCCAGAGCCAGCAGCAAGAGCACACUUGGAGAGUAUCAAGACCACUGCCCCAUUGGAGCUCCUCUGUAUUGAUUUCUGGUCCGCUGAGGACAGAAACAAUAAAUCUGUGGAUGUCUUGGUAAUCACAGAUCAUUUCACAAGGCUAGCUCACGCUUUUCCGUGUCAAAACCAUCCGAGUUAAUCAAAGUGUAAUGGGCACUUUGUAUGCUUACAUGUGUAGAGGUUUGGCAAACUUCUUUCAUAUUUGUGUCCCUUGAUUGGGUAGCUAAUUGUGUUGAUGGUCUUAACUGUUUUUUUUUCUGGUGUAGACCAAGUGAUUCUCAUGACCUGUUUUUUUGUUUUUACUCUGGAAAUUUUGUGUAAAUUCUGGGGGGUGCAUGUAACAGGUAUACAAAGUGUCCUACUAAAUAUUGCAAUAAUUCACCGGUAACACCGCCACGUUGACUUAUUUCAUCUUCCACAAGUGACAUCAGGCUUGUUUGCGCUAUAUUUGAAAACAAGAGUAUUCACUUAAUAAACAGACAUCGUUCUUCAUUUAAAUGUAUUUUAUACAUAGCUGGACAGAAUUGACAUUAAACAGAUAUAGCAAAAAAGUUUAUACCUGUGACGUACACCUCAGAUUCUUCAUCAAUGCUCUUGGACUAGAGCUCAGGAGAUGCUUUUAGCUUACACUUCUCGCAUGAGCAUUCGAGGAUAACCGGCUCACAAAAGACGUCUUUGACAACUUUUGCCUCCUUUUCCAUUUUCCCUUUUUACGAGGAACAAUCUGAUCAAAAAGAACUGGAGAGAAAAGACAAAACAAAGUCUUGUACAGCUGUCAAUACAUUCAUAUAUAUAUAUAUAUAUAUAUAUAUAUAUAUAUAUAUAUAUAUACACGUGUUAUACAAUGAGAGAAAUGACACUCUAGAAAAACUUUUUUUUUUCAUUAGCACUUUGGUUAAUAUCAAUGUUAACGUUUCGGCCAUUGUCUUGUGUGGCAUUGUCUUCCACAAGUGAAAUCAGGCUUGUUUGUGCUAUACAUGAAAACAAAUUCAUCAACUUAUUAAACGGACAUCGUUCGUUGAUUAAAUGUAUUAUACAUUGAUGAAUUAAAGUGUACACAUAGCAGAAUUGACAUUAGCCACAAAGAACUUUAGAGAAACAAGUUUUUUACCUGUGACAAACACUUCAGAUUCACUAGAAACGCUCAAGAUGUCGAGCACAUGAGAUCCUCUCGGUUCACACUCCUCGCAAUGGCAGUCGAGAAUAACAGGCAAACAAAAUAAUUCAUAAAACACUUUUCCUAAUCGAGAUUGUUGAGUUUUCGCCAUUUCCUCUGUAUAUAUGUUGGUCGCUGUUAAAUGUUAAAUCGGUUGUGCUGUGAAGAGAAAUGACAAUUCUGUCUCUGCGGGUGAGUUUUAAAGACUUUCUGUGUGACGUAAUAAAGGAGAACGCGUCAUCUCUAGUAACUUAUGUAAGAUCAACGAUAACGCUCCAGUAAAACCACAAUAUUCACAAGUUAUGUGUUUUACUUAUUAACUGCGGCACUAGAUGUUAUCGAUCAUUUAUUUGCAGCUUACACUGAGAUCAACACACCCAGAAAGUUCUAUCAAAAAUUUAACUUUACAUCUGCAGAGUGAAAAAAGUACAAAAGUGUCUUAAACAGACUCAAGAGCAAACAUUUCACCUCAUGCUUUUGUCAAUCCUGUGAGAAUAAUCAACAAACACACUCUUUGGCAGACACAGCUACAGGGGUAAUUGCUAAAGCCAGACUUUUGUUUUUAAAAUGGAGUACAAAGUGGAGUGCUUAUAACUUUGCAGACAGUGCCUGUUAUGAUACAAAGCAAGUUUUAUUACACAAAAGUGUGGCACAGAUACAGCUAAAUGACCGUUAAGUUAUUUAUUGGAUAUUUAAUUACAAUAAUUGAGUUACAUUCAUCCUCACCCUCAGCAACCCCCCCUGUUAUCUUGACAUUUACUGGUUUAUAGAACCUGAAAUCAUAGGAAGCAGAACAUCACUGUCAACAACAACACAGUGUAUACAAUCCAAUAAAAGCUCAGAAUGACUUUAAAGUGAUACUUCACCCAAAAAUGAAAAUUUGGUCAUGAUUUGACCUGAUAAACACAGAGAAAGAUAAUUGGAAGAAUGCUUAUAACCAAACAGAUCUCAACCCCCAUUGACUCCCAUAGUAGGAAAAAUAACGUUAUAAUUUUUUUUCUGUUGAACACGAAAGAUGACAUUUUGAAGAAUGCAAUCUCCAUUUGGUGUCAAUACGUCACUGCAAUUGAGUAUAAAACAAAGAUUUUAUACACAUGCGAUACAACUUUUCAUUAUCGAAUAAGCCAAACCUUAUCGGCAAUUGAUCUAACCGUAUACCACUGACCAUUUACAGAGUCGAUUAGAUCUUUUACAGCUACUAUUCCUGUAUUUAAAAACCUAUCGAUUACUGAACUUGAAAAUAUAAAACUGGCUUUAAAAAGAGAUUACAGAACAAUGGUUCUAAAACACCAUAAUGUUCAUCCUCUUGUCUAGAUUUUUUUUAAACAAUUGCCAAGUUUUUAAGACAGUCACAUAAAAAUUAAAAAAAUAAACUCUCACAGUGCAUUACUGAUACGUACACAUACACACAUACAGUGUUAUUGUGAAUGUGUUUUGUUAAUAUUGUUUGCUUUAUGGAAAUAACCACAGACAUGUUUUCAUCAAAUAUCAUUUAUUGCAAAUACAAUAACAUAGAUUUUAUACACUUGCCAGUUUUGUUAGGCAGAGCCAAACCUGUUUAAUGUUCAACCUGGACGUUUGUGGAAUGAUAAGAUGUAAUUAUGGAAUGUAUGUUUUAUUUUUGUAAUAUGCAUGUUUGUUUCAUUUGUGGUUGACAACUAUGUGUAUUAUUACUCAUGGGUUUUACCUCCAACAUGGUAUGAUCCGGAGGUGGAGCCUAGGAUAUAAAAAGGCUCCCAAAUCACCAUGAGGGGAGGUUAGAACCCGCUCAAAAUAAAGAGUAAAAUCGGUUGGAUUAGAAUGUUGAAUUAAGAUUGGAUAUGUGCAAACAGAUGCUGUUCAGAACUUUGUGUUUUAGCUGAAUGGGCCAGUAUAUUGGACAUUUUAUUUAUUUUGUUAGUUUGAUAAUUUGCUGUUGAUGCAUUUUGGCUGACUUUUUCAUAUUUGAGAAGAGAAAACAAUAAAACUCUUCAUCAUA